rnacentral:rRNA from 1 species
UACGGAGGGAGCUAGCGUUGUUCGGAAUUACUGGGCGUAAAGCGCACGUAGGCGGUUAAUUAAGUCAGGGGUGAAAUCCCGGGGCUCAACCCCGGAACUGCCCUUGAAACUGGGCAACUAGAAUCUUGGAGAGGUCAGUGGAAUUCCGAGUGUAGAGGUGAAAUUCGUAGAUAUUCGGAAGAACACCCGUGGCGAAGGCGGCUUUCUGGGACGGUACUGACGCUGAGACGCGAAAGCGUGGGGAGCGAACAGG